rnacentral:rRNA from 1 species
UUUAAAGUCUAACCUGCCCAAUGAAAAUUAAAUGGCUGCGGUAAUUUGACCGUGCAAAGGUAGCAUAAUCAUUAGUUUUUUAAUUGAAAGCUGGAAUGAAUGGUUGGACGAGAAAAAUACUGUCUCAAUUUAAAUUAAUUAGAAUUUUAUUUUUAAGUUAAAAAGCUUAGAUGAAAUUAAAAGACGAGAAGACCCUAUAGAGUUUAAUAGACAAAUAUUUAUAUGUAAAUUUAUUUAAUUAUAUUUGAUGUUUGUGUAUUUUGUUGGGGUGAUAGAAAAAUUUAAUGAACUUUUUUUUUUAUUAACAUUGAUUUAUGAAUAGAUGAUCCAUUAUUAAUGAUUAUAAGAUUAAAUUACCUUAGGGAUAACAGCGUAAUUUUUUUUGAGAGUUCAUAUCGAAAAAANANUUUGCGACCUCGAUGUUGGAUUAAAAUUAACUUUUGGCGCAAAAGUUAAAAAGUUAGGUCUGUUCGACCUUUAAAAUUUUACAUGAUCUGAGUUCAAACCGG